rnacentral:misc_RNA from 1 species
GUGGAGAGUCCUAAUUUUAUUUUUGCACAAGCUGGCGUGGAGAGUCCCUUACAUUGAUCCAUCUUGGCUUUACACAAUAAAUCGCCUACAUACUUUGCUUGGGACAAUAACAUACCAUUGGUUGUUUGAACAACUUCAACUCCCAAAAAAUAGUCUAACAGGCCAAGUUCACGUACCAUGAAAGCAUCUUUUAGUGAUUGAAUUGUCUUGGAGAUGAAAGCAUUAUCAUUGCCUGUGAGCAAAAUGUCAUCAACAUAAACUAGACAAUAUAAUCGAGUAGGACCUUUAUGAUAAAUAAAGACGGAACUGUCUGCAUGCGAAGUGAUGAAAUUUUGCUGGAGCAAAGUACUGCGUAACUUGUGAUACCAUUGCCUGGGCGCUUGCUUUAGCCCAUAUAAGGACCGCUUAAGCUUACAAAAUCUUUCUUAUCUUGAUCAAUAAAGAACAAUGGUUGUUCCAUAUAAACAUAAUGAAGUAAAUCUCCAUGUAAAAAAGCAUUGGAGGCUUCUAGCUGGUGAACUGACCAUGCUUAAGUAACUGCCAUUGAUAGAACAACACGAAUAGCUGCUGGUUUGGCCAUAGGUGAGUAACUUUACUAAAAGUCAAUCCCUGGGCAUUGAGAAUAUCCUUUCAUGACCAAGCGAGCUUUAUAGCUAACCAAACUGCCGUCAGGUUUUUGCUUAAGGUGAAAAAUCCAUAUGCACCCAAUGAUAUUCUGAGCUUGAGUGUGAGGAACUACCUCCCAUGUGUUGGUUUUAAGAAGGGCAGUAAUCUCUUCGGUCAUGGCUUUGUGCCAGUUUUCAUUAAGUACAGCCUUUGAAUAGCAAGUAGGAAUAGGAGGUAAUUGAUGCACAGUGGAGUAAAUCUUCG